UUUUUGGUAGAAUUCAUCUGUGAAGCUGUCUAGUUCUGGGCUUUUGUUUGCUGGAAGAUUUCUGAUUACAGUUUAGAUUUUAGUUCUUGUGAUGGGUCUAUUAAGAUUUUUCUAUUUCUUCUUGGUUCAGCUUUGGCCAGUUAUACUUU